AGAAAAAGGGAUUGCAAUUCAAGAAAAGAGACCCUGAAAAAAAAAUCAUAUGAUUCUUAUUGUUUUUUUUUUUUUUUUUUUUUUUUUU
rnacentral:ribozyme from 1 species